GCGGGGACACAGCUCGGCCCCGCGGGUUCGCGGGCCACUUCCGGAGGGAGGGCCGGGCGCUGCAGUCCUCUGCCCGCCCUCGCUGCCACCGCCGAGCUUUGGGCGCCGCUCCCUGGGACCUUUCCUGGGUCAGCCAGAGGUGGGGGUGGUGCCGGCCUCGUGGCUGUAGCGUGCGAUUCUUGGCUCGGCUGAGCUCACUCAUCUAGAACAUGCCAAGACUUUCCAGGCACUGACUGUGUAGCCAAGGCUCCUACCAUCGAUUCCCAACAGUCUUUCCCACCUGCCGGUCAUCCGAAUUCCCAGGCCUCUAGAGGCCUCAUCACCUAUUGACAAACCAGUGCCACCUGCAGUCUUGGCUGUUUCUGCCUUCACCUCACAUGCCACCCCACUACAGGAGGCUCCAGACAGCCUCUCGUGCCUGCACACAGAACCUUGGGACCACUGUGUAGUCGCUGUUUGAAUUCAGACCCAGCUUGGCGUUUAACACAGUUUGAAAUGUGGUUCCAGCUACAGGCUGCUCAGUGUUGCCCAGAAAUGGAUGUCACCCCAGGACAAUAGAGGGAAGCAGUCUCAAUAUUUAUUGCCAUCUCAACAAAAAAUAGACAACUGACACUCAGGAGGCAGAGGCAGGUGGAUCUCUGUGAGUUUGAGGCCAGCCUGGUCUACAAAGUGAGUUCCAGGACAGCCUCCAAAGCCACAGAGAAACCCUGUCUUGAAAAAAAAAAAGACAACUGAAAUAGUGACCUAACAAGUGUCUUCAUUUGGAUGCGUCCAGCCAGAUACUGCAGCAUUCACGUUCUUCUGAGCUACCCUUGGAGUUUGCUGUAAAAUAAAUUACUAUUAAGAUACUAGCAAGCCUUACAAGUAUGGGAAAGUUGGAAUAUUUGCUUGCAUUCCAUCUGAUCAUAGACAUCAAACCAACUAAGACCCUAGAGUACAAGACUCAUGUGGUUAGCACAAUACUGAGUGAAGGAACUCUAGAAAUCUCUAGAAAUAAAUGAAAAUGAAAACCCAAUAGACCCUAUGAGUUACAGGGCAAGUGGUAAGAAAAGGCUAUUUGUGGCAAUAGUUCUCCACUUUAAGGAAUUAGAUAACUCAAAUAAAUAGUGAUACAUUCCUUAGGGCUUUGGAAAGCAAGCCAAACCUAAACUCAGUAGAAAGAAAUAAUUAAGAUCAGGGCAAAAAUGAAUGACAUUUGAAUAAUAUGAUAAAUGAAAUAAUAAUGAUAAGUGAAAAAAUAUGGAGAAUGAAAGAGUUGCUUCUUAAAAAAAAAGCAUGAUUGCUGGGUAGUGGUGGUGCACACCCAGCACUCGGGAGGCAGAGGCAGGUGGAUCUCUGUGAGUUCGUGGCCAGCCUGGUCUCCAGAGCCAGUUCCAGGACAGCCAGGGAUGUUACACAGAGAAACCAUCUCAAAGAAAUCUUUAGCCAAGCUGACUGAAAGAAGGGGAGACUUGAAAGAGUAAAGUCUGAGGUGUAAAAGAACCCAGGACAGCACAUGGCAAUAGCAUUUACGAAGUCAUGAGUUGCUUUGAUACUGCCUUUGGCCUAGGUAUCUGGGGCCAGGACUGUACCCAGGAAUUACUAGCUCAUGGCUAAUUAUUAUGACAUGCCUAAAAAUUUUACUAAUUUGGAAAGUCAGUCCAAAAGAAAUAGAAAAAUGUCUAGGAGCACAUACCUAUCGAAAUUAAACCAAGACAAGAUAAACUAUUUUUGUUGUUGUCUGUUAUUUGUGGAGCUAGAGAUGAUUUGGUGGUGAAGACCCAGGUCCCUUCCUAAUUUCCACAGGUGGCUUACAAGCCACUGUGACUCCUGCUUCAAAGGGUCCAGUGCCCUCUUCUGACCGCCUUGAGCUUCUGCGACAUUUGACACACAUACAGACACUAAGACCCAUACAUACAUGAUAAAAAUUUGUCUAUUGGCCUGAUGCUUGCUGCCAAGCCUGAUGACUUGAAUUAGGGCCCCAAGACCCAUGACAGAAAGCACAAAUCAAUUCCCACAAGUUGUCACUUGACUUCCAUCCCAAGCUCUGACAUGCAUGCACCCACUCACACCCAUGUGCACACAUAUACUAUUUUUAAAAUGUAUUUCUAUUUUAUGUACUUUGGUGUUUUGCCAUGGGUAUCAGGUCCCCUGGAACUGGAGUUAUAGACAGUUGUAAGCUGCCAUGUGGGUGCUGGGAAUUGAACCCAGGACCUCUGGAAGAGCAGUCAGUGCUCUUAACCACUGAGCCAUCUCUCCAGAAUAUUAAUUUGUUCAGGUAUGUGUCUAUAUUUGUGUACGUGUGAGUGUAUUUACAGAUGUUUAAGUGUAUUUAUAGAGGUUGAAUAGGGCAUGGGGCGUCUACUUUUGUCACUCCCCACUGUUGCUUCGAGGCAGGAUCUCUCCCUCAAUGCAGGGCUUACAUUUUUCUCACAUAAACUGGAAGUUAGGAUGCCUCACAGACCUUCCUGCUUCUGUUCUCCUAAAAACUAGGGUUACAGGUGUGUGCUGGAUGCCAGGUUUAUACACUCGGCCAGAGACCUGAAUUCUUAUCAUCAUGAUUGUGCCACAGAUGCCCUUACCUGCUGAACCAUCUCCCCAGCCCCCAAAACAAACGAUUUAAACAGAUAUGUAACAAGUAAUGAACCUAAAGCAAUAAUUUAAAACUCCCAAAUAAGAAAGUCCAGGCUAAGCAAAAGGACCAGCAAGCAGGUUUGGAACUCAUGGAAAAAGACUCAGUGAUCAACAUCAUCACAAUGUGUGGGCCUUGGAGAGGCAGAGCCCUGAGGACUGUGUCCUGAGGUCCUCAUGCUAUUACUGAGCACACAGCAUUGCUUAUGAUGUCACCACAUCCCUCCUAAUCUAUGGGUUGUAUGAAAACUCUCAGGGAUUUCUAGCCCCUCACUGGGCAGUGUUACUGGUACUUAUAGUAAUUGUGACUGACUUUUUCCAAGCAUUGUUGCUGGAACAGAUUAAUGACUCAGCCACCACCACCAGAAAGAAUUCAUACAUAUAGAAUCAUUAGUAAGUAGGUUAAGAUAUUUUGUCAAUGUCUUUGAAGUAGAAAACCUUGGGGAACAAUUUAAAGUUUAGAAAGGUGCACUUUUGUUAGCUGAGCGAGGGACUGGCAGAGGUCAAGGAACAGGAACAAAGGCAGCCUGGCUAUUACUUGCUGACGUGCCUUUCUUGCUAGGAUGGGUUGGUGAUCAAAGGCAAUGAUUAAUUAAUUCCUUCUACCCAUUUUUGCCCUCAGUUCCUGAUAUGAUUUAAUAAAGUUGUUGAGUGGGUAUGCAUUCUGAGGACUUAACGUAGAAAUGACUUUUAUAUAUAAAGGUUUAGAUUUGUGAUUCUUUUAGGAUCUUUUAUAAAGUACUUCUUGAGAUAAAUAAUAAAAUGAUUGAUCCUUUCUUUGUAAUCGCAGAAUUCAGCCUGCCAGUUAAGGAACUGACUGAGAAAAAUAUCUUGCUUGUUUACACAUUGUUAAUCUAUAACAUGUUGCUUAGACAUGAAUUUAUGUGGGCUCUUGGGAAUAAUUUUUCACCUGUAAUACAUAAUAUGUUUAAUCAUGUGAGGGAAAUGAGAAACAUGCUGUUUUUUACUUGCAUUCAUUGUAGCCAGUCACUUAAAAAAUAGAAUGUAA